rnacentral:rRNA from 1 species
AGUGAACGCUGGCGGUAGGCCUAACACAUGCAAGUCGAACGGCAGCACAGUAAGAGCUUGCUCUUACGGGUGGCGAGUGGCGGACGGGUGAGGAAUACAUCGGAAUCUACUUUUUCGUGGGGGAUAACGUAGGGAAACUUACGCUAAUACCGCAUACGACCUACGGGUGAAAGCAGGGGAUCUUCGGACCUUGCGCGAUUGAAUGAGCCGAUGUCGGAUUAGCUAGUUGGCGGGGUAAAGGCCCACCAAGGCGACGAUCCGUAGCUGGUCUGAGAGGAUGAGCAGCCACACUGGAACUGAGACACGGUCCAGACUCCUACGGGAGGCAGCAGUGGGGAAUAUUGGACAGUGGGCGCAAGCCUGAUCCAGCCAUACCGCGUGGGUGAAGAAGGCCUUCGGGUUGUAAAGCCCUUUUGUUGGGAAAGAAAAGCAGCAGGUUAAUACCCCGCUGUUCUGACGGUACCCAAAGAAUAAGCACCGGCUAACUUCGU